UAUAGGACAGUGUGCUAUAUACACUGUUGAAACUUAAGCAAGCAGAGCCUCGGUGCUUAACUGCUUACUUAAGCCAGCAUAGCCUUGUGCUUAUUCCAACUUAUAUACUGAACUCAGCUAAUUGCAACUCUUCUUCUUCUUCUUCUUCUUCUUACUCAAAAUGGCCUUCUUCUUCUUUUAGAAUUAAACCACCCCACUCGUUCUACUGGAAGCAGAGGUCUAGAUUUGGUUGAUUUGGUCUAGCUAUCGGAUGACAAAAGGAUGCCGACGUCUAUUGCAACAAUACCCCCUGGCUCUGUGUGAGUCUCUUCAACAACAUAUGGUGCAAACUUCAUGUCCUUGCAAUUGAAAUCUGGGUUUGUAGAAAAUCUGUCUGAUUUCUUCUUCUUCUCCUUGAUUUGCUUAAAUUAGUAUUCAUUACUGAUAUUAUUCACCCUUCUUUUGGCCUGCUUAUUGCAAAAUGUAUAUUUGCCUUUGCUUCUUUGGAUUUCCUGUAUGUAUAGAACAAUUUUGUAUUUUGAUGGUGAUAAAUGAUAAUUGACUACCAUCUGGAUUUGAUUCUGCGGAAGCUGCUGUUAGUAAUAGGUCAAAUCGAUGAAUCCCGUACUUUGGUAUUUUGAUUCGAAGCCAAAACGACGGAUUACAAACCGCUAGAUAAUUUGCCAAGUUUGGGUUCAGUGGAAAUUGCUCUCUACUCUAAAUUAGCAAAGAGAAUUCCUUUUAAUAUUUUGUCUAAAAUUUGUUAUCUUAGUGGCAAUAUGGUUCCAUUCCAAAUGAUCUAUGUCAUCUGAGCAAUCUGGGUGAGUUAAGACUUUUAGGGUCAGUACCAAGUUGCUUUGGGAAUCUUACCUCUCUAACAGCUUGAUAGCAAUAAUUUAACUUCAAGUAUGCCCUUAAGGAGGACAUGUUGAUUUUUAACUUGUCAUCAAAUUCACUAGGUGGCCAUCUGAAUUGGAAAUUUAGAGGUGAUAUAUCAAAUGGACUUGUCAAAGAAUCAUUUCUUUGGUGGUAUUCCAAGUGAGAUCGGUGCUCUCCAACAGUUAUAAUUUAUCUCUCUUUGGCACAUAAUAAAUUCCAAGGACCUAUACCAGGUUCAAUUGGGAGCACCUGGAUCUCUCCAACAGCAUACUCUCUGCUGUGAUUCCCAAGAUUGUAAAUGGUCCUCUGCAAGGAAUUCCUCCUUCUAGUCUGUUGUAAGACAGACUUGGGAACAGCUCUUUUAUGCACAAUCUUGGACCCUGCGGAGCUCCUCAGCUAGGCUUCAAUAAGAUUUCUGAAAUAUGUUUUACCGGCUACAGCUUCAGCAAUAUUGGUACUAGCCCUUGUAUAUGUGCUGGCAAGGCGGCAAAGAAAAAAGGAGAACAGUCCUUUCUCUACUCAACCUGAUUUGCUACAUAUAGCAACAUAUAGAAGGUUUUCAUACCAGGAACUCAUGCAGGCUACAAAUAGAUUAGACGAAAGUAACCUACUUUUGGAUAUAGAGGGAUGCUUGGUAUGGCUGUUGCAGUAAAGCUGUGCCAAUGUUGACGUCAAAGCAUUGGUGAUGGAGUUCAUGCCCAAUGGAAACCUUGAGGCAUUGUUGCGCUCUAAUUCCUAUUGCUUGGAUAUGCUACAGAGGUUAAACAGCUUGGUAGAUGUUGCACUUUCUUCGGAAUAUCUUCACUAGAAUUUUGUUUUGAUUUUCAUGAUUUCUCUACAUUUUUUAUGUUAUAUGCAGAGUCUGGAUCACAGGGAAUAGUGUCUAAUGAGAACAUUUACAAGGAAGAAGCCUACAGGAGAAAUGUGCUUGAAAGAUUGGGUAUUAGACUCAUUGCAGAGUGGUGAGAUGAUGGAUUCCAAAAACAAAUGAGAGUUAUCUCGCAGCUAAUGUGUAUAAUCUGUCAUGAGUUUGGCUUGUGAAAUGAGGAUCAACAUUCUACACAGGCUGAAGAAAAUAAAGGACAAAUAUGAAAAGAACAUGCAAGCCACUUGCAAAUUACCAUAAAAUCUUUUCUUUUUCUCUGCGAAAGUGGAAUUCUUUUUGCUUCUAUAAUGGUUAAGCUACUAUAUAGUCUCAACUUAUGCUUACGUAAAAUAAUUUAUUCCUCUAAAUUCUGGAGUGUACGAACUUGUUUUAGGAAAAGUGGUGUCCUUUGUAGUGGUGUGCAUCAGCUUCAAUGUAUAAUUGAAAUGAAAAUUUUUAUGAACCAAAUUGAAUUACAUAUUA